CAUUUAUGGUAUCUUAUAUAUUUGAACCGAUAUAAGUAUGUCCCUUUUGUAUGUUGUAUUCUUCCACUUUUAUUUAUCAUGGUAAAUCUCACCUAAUACAAUUUCAUGCCAUGUAUGCUAGAAUUUCAGUUUGAGUAGUGAUAUUUCAUUAGAAAACUGUCACAAUGGUUUAAAUUUAAAAUAAUUCUUGUCAAUAUAAGUUGUUUUAUUCGAGCUGUUCGCUUUAAAUUGAAUCUGCGUGCUGUUUUUCGGCUAAAUGAUUUGAGUUAGUUUUUCAUUCUACAAGGCUACAACAUUAUAUAUGAUUUUUCCAGGUCACCAGAUAAAUCAUUCUAUGAAUCUCCACGCUUUGUGACACAUAUUGAUGAUCCAGCCAUUGUUGCUCUUACUAAGUAUUAUUCAGAGGUUUUUCCUCCUAGUGAAACUCCAGGAGUAACUAUCCUUGACAUGUGUAGCAGUUGGGUCAGUCAUUUCCCAGCAGGAUACAAGCAAGACCGGAUAGUAGGAAUGGGUAUGAAUGAAGAAGAGCUUAAACGGAAUCAAGUUUUGACCGAAUAUGUUGUUCAAGACUUAAAUGUUAACCCUAAACUUCCCUUUGAAGAUAAUUCCUUUGAUGUUAUUACAAACGUUGUUAGUGUUGACUACCUGACAAAGCCUAUUGAUGUUUUCAAGGAGAUGUGCCGGAUUCUUAAGCCUGGUGGCCUUGCUAUAAUUAGAGUUUGGCAAGGUUUAACUCUCCAACCACUUCCAGCUUUCUUUCCUACCAGUAACAAUUUCUUAACAUGGAUGGACAUUAACACCAAGCAAUAUGUCAAGUUCAAAAACAUGCUAGUUUUUUGAACAUUUUGACCUUUGAUCUCAAAACAAUCUGGUCAAACGUACUACUGAUGAAGCCAAGGAGUAAGGGAACAGAGUGCUAUUGGUAAUUCAUGUUGUUUUAUUUUUGUACAUCUUUUAUGUGAAUUUCACAUAUUGUGUUUGUAAAUCAGCUUAUCCAACCGCUGCUUCUGGACAAAAGCAAUCUCAAUAUGGACAAUGACCACUGAUGCUGGUCAUGUUUUGAUUGUCGGAUCAUAUUUCCAUUAUGCUGGAGGGUUUGAACCUGCUCAGGCUGUGGAUUUAUCUCCGAAUCCAGGACG